CACCGCGGUUAGACGAGCAGGCCCAAGUUGUUAAUUACCGGCGUAAAGGGUGGUUAAAACUAGAAAUUACUAAAGCCGAAGGCCUAUCAGAGCCGUUAUACGCUUCCGAAGGUAUGAAGCUCAACCACGAAAGUGGCUUUAUUACAUUUGACCCCACGAAAGCUAGGGCA
rnacentral:rRNA from 1 species